CCUACGGGAGGCAGCAGUGAGGAAUAUUGGUCAAUGGGCGAAAGCCUGAACCAGCCAAGUAGCGUGCAGGAUGACGGCCCUACGGGUUGUAAACUGCUUUUAUACGGGAAUAACGCGCCUUACGUGUAGGGCUUUGCAUGUACCGUAUGAAUAAGGACCGGCUAAUUCCGUGCCAGCAGCCGCGGUAAUACGGAAGGUCCGGGCGUUAUCCGGAGUUAUUGUGUUGACAGGGAGCGUAGGCCGCAUGUCAAGCGUGCUGUGAAAUGUCCGGGUGCAACCCGGGCCUUGCAGCGCGAACUGGCGGGCUUGAGUCCGCGGAAAGCAGGCGGAAUUCGUCGUGUAGCGGUGAAAUGCUUAGAUAUGACGAAGAACCCCGAUUGCGAAGGCAGCUUGCUGCAGCGGAACUGACGCUGAUGCUCGAAAGCGCGGGUAUCGAACAGGAUUAGAUACCCUUGUAGUU
rnacentral:rRNA from 1 species